AUUGAACGCUGGCGGCAUGCCUUACACAUGCAAGUCGAACGGCAGCACGGGGGCAACCCUGGUGGCGAGUGGCGAACGGGUGAGUAACACAUCGGAACGUGUCCUGUUGUGGGGGAUAACCAGUCGAAAGACUGGCUAAUACCGCAUGAGCUGGAGACAGGAAAGCGGGGGACCUGAAAGGGCCUCGUGCGAUUGGAGCGGCCGAUGUCCGAUUAGCUAGUUGGGGGGUAAAGGCCCACCAAGGCGACGAUCGGUAGCUGGUCUGAGAGGAUGAUCAGCCACACUGGGACUGAGACACGGCCCAGACUCCUACGGGAGGCAGCAGUGGGGAAUUUUGGACAAUGGGGGCAACCCUGAUCCAGCCAUGCCGCGUGAGUGAAGAAGGCCU
rnacentral:rRNA from 1 species